GGAGAGUCAUCACAUUAUCUGUGACUAUUGGUGAGUAAGCAAUAUGUUGCGAAGAGUUCUGAGGAGAAAAAGAAAAAAAAUUAUGGAAAAAGAAAGAAAGAAGGAAAGAAAAAGAAAAAAGAAAGAGAGAAAUGAGAAAAGAAAAAUAAAAAAAAUAAAGUACUCCUCAAUUCUUUGAGCUUCAUAAAGAUCCCAAGUGCUUUAAAGAUUAAGGAUUAUUCCAUACUCAUUUUUCCAACAAUGUGCAAUCCAAUUAUAAGAACUUCAUUUGUGCCUCACGAUCAUACUUUGCCCUUGCACAUGUCCACUAUUUAAAUGUGUGUCUUCAUUCUCUCCCUCUCCAUAAAUAAUUAUUUU
rnacentral:lncRNA from 1 species